UCUGCACAAAAUAAAGUUAUUUUUCUCACGUGUCAUUUUUUUUACUAAUACGAUAUAAAACGACGCCCACGUUUACCGCAAACGCGAUCGAACAAAUACAACGUUAUAACAAUAAUACGAACGAACUGCGGCGGAACAGACGGCACACGUUUAAGUUGUCCUAAGAGUACAAUCUGCGCAAAAUAAUAAUUUGUUUAAAACUGUGGGUU